rnacentral:antisense_RNA from 1 species
CACUGAGACAUGGAGCAACUGACUGAGUAGUCACUGCCCCACCCCUGCCUGGAGCCUCACACAUGACUCGUCUCCUCUCAGUGACCACAGGUUGGUUGAGGGGUUUAACAAGGCUAAGAAGGAAAACAAGCUCAGGGCUCCCACUGAUUGUACAUUAUGGUGAGACGUGGUCUUGUAACACAGUGGUUAAGAAUGUGACUUUGGAGCCAGCCUGCUAGGGGCUGAAUUCUGACUCAGCCAUUUACUAACUGUGUGACCUUAGGGAGGAGGACCUGGUUGAUAGAAGAAUUUAUCUCGUAGUCUUAACAUCCACUGUAAUUCCAAACUUUGAGGACGAUAGAGAUCAGUGGGCUUUGACUGCCCAGCAUGCAGUCUCCAUUCUUAGGUGGGUUCCCAAGCCUGUAAAAUGUAAGCCUUAUGCUGCUGAGGGCCAUCUUGCCACCCUGAGGGAAACGCUGCCUGAGAAUGAAACCAGCAUAAGUAAAAGCUGAGCUGUGAGAUGGAGCAAGAUGAAGGCCACAUGACAUCUUUGGAGCACCUGGAUCUAACUGUGCCUUAAGCUAGUCUAACCCUGAACAUUUCAUCAUUUCAUUGACAUGAGCCCAGGUUUUCUUUUUUUUUGGAUGGAGUCUUGCUCUGUCGCCCAGGCUGGAGUGCAGUAGCUCAAUCUCGGCUCACUGCAAGCUCCACCUCCCGGGUUCACGCCAUUCUCCUGCCUUAGCCUCACAAGUAGCUGGG